rnacentral:tRNA from 1 species
GCCCGGGUGGCGGAACAGGUAGACGCAACGGACUUAAAAUCCGUUAGCUGGCAACGGCUGUGCCGGUUCGAGUCCGGCCUCGGGCACCA